UACUUUUUUUCUUCUUUCAAUUCUAUAGCAUUCCGUCUCCAGAUGGCUAAAAAAAUUAGAAAGAUUAAUAUAUCCCUCAGCAACAUGAACAACCAAGCCAAUCUGUUUGGACUCCAGAGGAGAGUUACUGAUAUGAUUGUUCUACCUAGAGGAAACCAAGUGACCCACUCCUUUCUUGGAGAUUCAUCACAAGUUAUUGGAAGGGAAGAUGAUGUCUCAAAAGUAGUCGACUUGUUGAUCCACUCAACUUGUCUGCAACCCCUCCCUGUUGUAUCUAUAAUUGGCAUGCCAGGUCUUGGAAAAACUACAUUAGCAAAAUUAGUGUGCAAACAUGAGCAAGUAAAAAAAUAUUUUAGUAAAAUAAUCUGGGUGUGUGUAUCUGAUGAUUUUAAUGUUGAAAGGAUUUUACUCGAGAUGCUGGAAUCUCUUACCCAAAACUCGUGUGCAAUAAAAAAUAAAGAUACUCUACUCAGAAAAAUGCAUGGAGAACUGGCAGGGGAUAAUUAUCUUCUUAUACUUGAUGACGUAUGGAAUGAGGAUAUAGAGAAGUGGGAGGACCUAAGAAAUUGCUUGAUGGGAGUAUCAGGAAAUGUAGAGAGUAGAAUUGUUGUGACAACCCGUAAGGAGAAUGUAGCAUUGGCGAUGGGAACACUUCCUGAAUAUAUGCAUCAUCCAGACAAACUUGUAGAUGAUGAGUGUUGGUCAAUAAUCAAAGGAAGAGCAUUUGGACACUCUUCCAUACCUCCAGAAUUGGAGGUUAUUGGAAAGGAUAUUGCUAAAAAGUGUGGAGGUCUGCCAUUGGUUGCAAGGGUUAUAGGUGCAACAUUGAGCAAUAAAAGUGACAAAGAUGAGUGGCUGUCAAUUAAAGAUAAUCCUGUUUGGGGUCCCCUAGAAAUGGAUAAUGGCAUUUUACGUGUACUUAAAUUGAGUUUUGAUUGCUUACCUUCUUCAUCCUUGAAGCAGUGUUUUGCAUAUUGCUCAAUUUUUCCUAAGGAUUUUGAAAUUAAAAAGGAACACUUAAUUCAGCUUUGGAUGGCUGAAGGGUUUCUUCAAUCACCUGAUGGAAGUUACACAGAGAUGGAAAUUAUGGGUAACAGGUUCUUUAAUGAAUUGUUAUUAAGUUCUUUGUUUCAAGAUGUGGAAAAGGAUGUGCAUGGGAAUAUUAAAACUUGCAAGAUGCAUGAUGUAAUUCAUGAUCUUGCCCUGUUUGUUUCAAAAGCUGAAACCUUGGUCUUAGAUGAGACUGGUCCCAUGAGCGACAGUUCUCAUAUUCGACGUCUGAGCAUCAUUUCUACCGGGAUAGAGGUCCCAACUAUUUCAGAAGAUGUUGCUACAAAGUUGCGGUCUUUGUUUUCAAACGCUGAUGUUCUGCACAGUAUGUCAAAUGAACCUAAAAGCUUACGUGUCCUAAGUUUUCGAGAUGCUAAGGUUGAGAAAUUGCCAGCUUUUCUUGGCAAAUUGAAGCAUUUAAGAUACCUUGACAUCUCAAGAACUAAAAUAAAAAAAUUACCAAAAUCUUUCACUCAGCUCUACAAUUUGCAGACUUUAAGCAUUAUGGACUGCUGUCUUGAGAGGCUUCCCAAAGGAAUAACAAAACUAGUUAGCUUGAGACAUAUUUAUUUUGAUAAAGAAAAGCUUAUGCCAGUUAAAGUUGGGUGCUUACCCUGUCUUCAAACAUUGCCAUUCUUUUUUGUGAGCAUCGAAAGUGGACGCAAAGUUGAAGAACUUGGGUUCCUGAGCCAACUUAGAGGAGAAUUAGAAAUAUACAACCUUGAACAUGUAAAAGACAAAGCAGAAGCCAUUAGAGCAAAGUUGCUAGAGAAGACUGAAGUUCAUAAGUUGGAAUUUUUGUGGAGCUACAGAAGGGAAGGCUACAGUAAUGACAAGGAAGUAUUGGAGGGCCUCAAGCCUAGCUCAAAUUUGAAAAGCUUAAAGAUUGUCAACUACUGGGGAGACAAGUUGCCUUCAUGGAUGCUUAUGAGUGUCCAUGAUUUUGGAUAUUCGUUUCUCGAUAAUCUGGUUUUCUUGAAAUUGAUAAAAUGCACGGAAUGCACAAAUAUUUCGGGUCUUGGGCACUUGUGCAAUCUGCAAAUUCUUGAAAUAGAUGGAAUGGAGAAGGUGAAAUGUAUAUAUAAGAAUUUAUGUAACAGCAACAUAGAAAGCAGUGAGACUACCACUCUAUUCCCAUCAUUGAGAAGAUUCAGCUUGGAGAAUAUGAAUAGCCUGGAGGAAUGGGUACAAGGUGUGGGUCCAGGUAUAGAAAGAAGUGAAGAUGUGGUCUUGUUUCCUCAACUAGAAGAGUUGAUUGUUUUGAGCUGUCCUAAGUUGAAGAGUGUUCCAACACAUAGAGGGUUUACGUUUCUUCAGGCAUUUCAUGUUUGCUACUGUGAUGAAUUGAGUAGUUUAAGGGAUGGACUAUCUGUCUCCACUUUUGUGAAGGAAUUAAGAUUGUGGAAUUGUUGUAGUCUUAUCUCCGUUCCCAAAGAUAUAGGGGAAUUGCGAUCUCUUAUUUAUUUAGAAAUAUCUUUUUGUCCAAAAUUGACAAGCAUUCCAGAGGAGAUCUUUGGUUACCUCACCAGUCUGAAGGAAUUGAGAAUUGGCUUUUUCUCAGAAGAGCUAGAGGAAUUCCCAGGUCUCAGUUCGAUCCACCUUCUCUGUGCAUCCCUUGAAUGUCUGUUCUUAUUUGGAUGGAAAAAGCUAAAGUCCCUGCCACCUCAACUACAACACCUUGUUGCCCUUAAAUCUUUUGUAAUAUGUUUCUUUGAUGGUAUGGAAUCCUUGCCAGAGUGGCUGGGAAACUUCUCAUCACUUCAGAAACUUCGAAUUGAAAAAUGUAACAGUCUGAUGCAUCUGCCCUCUAUGGAAGCCAUGCAAUGCCUCUCCAAAUUACAGAGACUUGAAAUUAAUAGGUGUCCAAUAUUGGCAGAAAGAUGCAUCGAGGAGAGCAGGCCUGAAUGGCACAAGAUUGCUCACAUUCCAUACAUUCAAAUUAAUUGGCAACACAUUAAACAUUGACCAGCUUCGAUUAAGUGCUAAUGUUAAUGGGAGGAUGACAGAGAGUUUAACGGGCCAUGGAGGCUUCAGAUUGCUUGGGAAGCUUGGCCAGAGUGCUCAAGGGAAUCUAUUUGCGGAGUUGGAAGCUUUUCCUGAAUGCUGAAGAAACCUCUCAUCU